rnacentral:lncRNA from 1 species
GAUCCUGAACCAGCCGCUGGAGUCGGAGUGGCGACCCGGUGUGGAGGAGCCGGCGGAAAGCCAUUGGGAAGAGGCCAGCGUGAGAGCAAGAUCCUUUGCUAAGGGUAAGUGAGACAGCUUCUUGAGUAGGAGGCUCAGAAAAAAGUGGUGAAGGUGUGAGACUGUCCUGAGACAACUUCAUGGUGUAACAGAGGCAAGUAGAAGAUAAUGGUGUUUUGAUGAAAGAGAGAAAACUAAAUAUACUUUAUUUGGCAUACUGAUCUACAGAAUUAUUUGAUCUUAUUUUGCUCAGUAACUCUAUCUAGUGGUAGAGAAAUUGAGUAGAGGACCCAUCCAAGUUGGGUAGCCAAAACAGAAUAGUAAAGAAACUAGGUUUUGCCAACCAAAGACUAUACAUGGAGGGAUCCAUGGCUCCAAAUACACAUUUAGCAGAGGAUGGCCUUGUUUGGCAUAAGAGGGAGGGGAGGCCCUUGGUCCUGUGGAGGCUUAAUGCCCCAGUGUAGAGGGAUGCUAGAGCAAUAAGGCAGGAGUGGGUUGGUGAGUGGGUGGAGGAGCCCCUCAUAGAGGAAAAGGGGGGAGGGUAGGGGAUGGGGAGGUUGUAGAGGGGAAACUGGGAAGGGGGAUAUCAUUUGAAAUGUAAACAAAAUGAUUAAUUUUUAAAAAAGAGUAUAAAACUGCAAAGUGGUAUUUAAGCCACACAAUUUGUUGAACUUUGUUAUCACAGUGAUAAGAAAUCUAUAAAAAUGCCUAACAAAUUACUUUUGGGUCUUUAAAUUUUUGUAAAUUCAUUAAACUAAAAUAAACAUUUAUAUAAAUCCAUUUUACCUAGUACACAAGUACAUUUCUUCUUCACGUUUCAAAUUAAAAAGCUAUGUGG